rnacentral:rRNA from 1 species
CAUGCAGUCGAACGAACUCUGGUAUUGAUUGGUGCUUGCAUCAUGAUUUACAUUUGAGUGAGUGGCGAACUGGUGAGUAACACGUGGGAAACCUGCCCAGAAGCGGGGGAUAACACCUGGAAACAGAUGCUAAUACCGCAUAACAACUUGGACCGCAUGGUCCGAGUUUGAAAGAUGGCUUCGGCUAUCACUUUUGGAUGGUCCCGCGGCGUAUUAGCUAGAUGGUGGGGUAACGGCUCACCAUGGCAAUGAUACGUAGCCGACCUGAGAGGGUAAUCGGCCACAUUGGGACUGAGACACGGCCCAAACUCCUACGGGAGGCAGCAGUAGGGAAUCUUCCACAAUGGACGAAAGUCUGAUGGAGCAACGCCGCGUGAGUGAAGAAGGGUUUCGGCUCGUAAAACUCUGUUGUUAAAGAAGAACAUAUCUGAGAGUAACUGUUCAGGUAUUGACGGUAUUUAACCAGAAAGCCACGGCUAACUACGUGCCAGCAGCCGCGGUAAUACGUAGGUGGCAAGCGUUGUCCGGAUUUAUUGGGCGUAAAGCGAGCGCAGGCGGUUUUUUAAGUCUGAUGUGAAAGCCUUCGGCUCAACCGAAGAAGUGCAUCGGAAACUGGGAAACUUGAGUGCAGAAGAGGACAGUGGAACUCCAUGUGUAGCGGUGAAAUGCGUAGAUAUAUGGAAGAACACCAGUGGCGAAGGCGGCUGUCUGGUCUGUAACUGACGCUGAGGCUCGAAAGUAUGGGUAGCAAACAGGAUUAGAUACCCUGGUAGUCCAUACCGUAAACGAUGAAUGCUAAGUGUUGGAGGGUUUCCGCCCUUCAGUGCUGCAGCUAACGCAUUAAGCAUUCCGCCUGGGGAGUACGGCCGCAAGGCUGAACUCAUAGA